rnacentral:rRNA from 1 species
CACGUAGGGGGCGAGCGUUGUCCGGAUUUAUUGGGCGUAAAGAGCUCGUAGGCGGUUCACUAAGUCGGGUGUGAAACCUCCAGGCUCAACCUGGAGACGCCACCUGAUACUGGUGUGACUAGAGUCCGGUAGGGGAGUGUGGAACUCCUGGUGUAGCGGUGAAAUGCGCAGAUAUCAGGAAGAACACCAGCGGCGAAGGCGGCACUCUGGGCCGGUACUGACGCUGAGGAGCGAAAGCGUGGGGAGCAAACAGG